AUGCUGAGUUUAAAGCCAACAAUUGUUGUUUUUUGGAUCUAUUAUUGUUUGAUACAAGUCUCAGGAACGGAUAUCAAAAACAUUACCUGUCAUGACAUAAAGACCAACAAUGGAUACAAGUAUACACAUAACUGUGUUGACAAAGAGAUAUCUGUCAUCAAUUUAGCGGACAAUAUAGUCAUUGCUAAUAUUGACAGAAAUGAGCAACAGAAGUUGGACUAUGUAAAAGAAAUUAACGAAACACACAUUAUAUUGAAGACGUGCCUCUCAAUCAAAGUGGAAUGCUCGAGUAAUGGCGUCAGCGGAUAUACGUCAAAGACAACCAUUUUUCGGGUGUCUAAAACUAAAGAAAGGGAGGGCAAUUCUACGAGCACAGAUGUGUUACCAUGGAUCAUUGGCAUUUUAGUUACAAUCCUGAUCAUCAUACUUUCCAUGUGUUGCAUCUGUUGCAUCUAUUGUUGGUGGAAAAAAUCAAAGAAGCAGAAUUUGCCGCUAACCUUUAGUGGUUUUAUGACGUAUCUACGAACUGGCUUUUGCUUCCGAACACGUUCUUUGCCUGAGAGUGGAAGCAACCAUUCGCUGGGAUCUUACUCUAGGCGUGAAGUCCAAGGGGUCUCAGCAGAUUUGGAAGAAACUGGACAGAAUGGAGGGAUCAGAACUCCACGUGAACAUGGUGAAAAUGAUCCGGAGCACGUUAACAGACCCGAAAGUGUGCAAAUUCACAGAUCUUACUCUGGGCGUGAAGUCCAAGUGGUCUCAGCAGAUUUGGAAGAAACUGGACAGAAUGGAGAGAUCAGUAUUGAUUUCCAGUCUGAUGGCAACACAGCUCGACCCCGUUGUCUGGAGUCCAGCUUAAGCAAUAAGCACAUGCUGCCAACUGAAAAGGACUUGGACUUGGAUGAUGAGGAAGAGCAACAGGCUGAAAGGCGAUUGCUGCUGUCGGAUCAGGGAGGUGCCAUAUCAUGUGGAACGAUGGCAUUGGUCUCCAACCCUCCCUCUGAUACUGAUGUGCCCAAACGGGCAUCCACAGCAGCCGUAAGACUCAGAUUUGAAUCAUUUCAUCUUUUUUACACAUUAUCGCUGUUUUUUUUGUUUGUUUGUUGUUUUUUUAACGUAUUGACCCUCCUUCCUUUUCCUUUUAUUCCAGGCUUGACGUGGAGGCAACACACUACAUACAGUACCUACAAGUUAUAUAUUAUAUAGAUACAUACAAUGAAUAACAGAUUAUAUAUAGCAUAUAAAUAUUAUUAUAAAUAUUUACAUGAAUACAUGUAAAACAUUAUAUCAUUAAUAAAUAAGCUGUAUGUGGGGUUUUAGAUGACA
ensembl:lncRNA uncharacterized LOC114468191